rnacentral:rRNA from 1 species
CCUACGGGAGGCUGCAGUGGGGAAUAUUGGACAAUGGGGGAACCCUGAUCCAGCCAUGCCGCGUGUGUGAAGAAGGCCCUCGGGUUGUAAAGCACUUUCAGUGAGGAAGAACGCCUGGUGGUUAAUACCCAUCAGGAAAGACAUCACUCACAGAAGAAGCACCGGCUAACUCCGUGCCAGCAGCCGCGGUAAUACGGAGGGUGCGAGCGUUAAUCGGAAUUACUGGGCGUAAAGCGCGCGUAGGUGGCUUGAUAAGCCGGUUGUGAAAGCCCCGGGCUCAACCUGGGAACGGCAUCCGGAACUGUCAAGCUAGAGUGCAGGAGAGGAAGGUAGAAUUCCCGGUGUAGCGGUGAAAUGCGUAGAGAUCGGGAGGAAUACCAGUGGCGAAGGCGGCCUUCUGGACUGACACUGACACUGAGGUGCGAAAGCGUGGGUAGCAAACAGGAUUAGAUACCCCAGUAGUC